AUGCUGCCGGAUCUGGCCGCUCCGGGACUCAUCAACGCCGCCCCGGUUGUUCACCUCCCCAUCACCGCUUCCCCCAUCACCAUCCCGUCCGCCUCGUCCAAAUCAGCUGAGAGGGUAGUCGCCUGUCUCCAGAGGAGUUCGUCCCCGACGGCCUCUCCAAGGACUCCCUCCCCCACACUCCCAACGCCACUGCCUUCCGAACAUGGUAUCCAGUUCAAGAAGGGUCGACCGCGAGCUGCAUCGACAUCGAGCGUUCCUCUUCUUCGUCGGGCCUGCACCAUCUCGGGUUGCAGCCGUGCAGCACCUGCUGCUGUGGGGGACGGAUGGAGCGGUACUGGUAGAGCUGCUCCACGCCGGCCCUGUCGAGCUCAACCACUAAUUGUUCAACCACGCGCUGCGCCACCACUUCCUCUACACUCGCUACCAGUGGCUUGGUCUCUUGACUCUUGUAGAUGCUCGGUGUCUGGCGAGGCCGCAGGGGGCGAGCCGAAUGAUCCGGAGCAGCGGGCGAAACCGCGGAAGGCGGACCAUUCAGUUAUGCGUACAUUUGUGAAGGUUUGUUGCUCCAACUUGUGA
rnacentral:rRNA from 1 species